GCACACAGUUGAGUGUGAGCUCGAAAAAAGGCAUAUUAUGCAUUUUAAAUACGUUUUUAACCUAUAAUUCUAAAAGAUAUUUUAAUUCUCUAUCUUUUCAUGUCCCAACUAUAACAAAAAGUUGAGUAAUAACGAAGAUAUUCAAUAAGGUGUAAGGUACGUUACAAAUUAAUUAAAAAAGAUACGCCCGAAAACGCUGUCAAAUGGUUGAACUUCAAACUUGGAAUUUCGUCUGCACUAUUCGGCUGGCAUUAAUGUUCGCCCGUUUCGUUUUUUCCCCAAGGAGGGCCAACUAUAGCAAAAAGUUGAGUAAUAACGAAGAUAUUCAAUUCUUACACUGUUACAUCGGUUUGUGUGCACGUACGUAUUUUGACUCCGCAAUAAGUGCUCAGCAACAUUAAUUGUGAGAAUAUACACAUUAAUAUGUUGCGUAAGCAGAUUUCCAUAAAUUAUUAAGUGAAAUUGACACUAUAAUAAUAAAACUUCAGUUUUAUUUAAUUAUAAUAAUGGUUUGGCCGAACUGCUUUGGGCCAAGGAACGGCGAAUAGAAUCGUAAUAAGCGGAAUUAAAAGCUUGUGUACCAAAAUCAAGAACAAAUACAUGCUAAAGUGAAUACUUACAUACACACAUAGGGCAUAAAAUAAAAUAAAACGAAACGAAAUAAGCAAAAAUGUCCGAUAAUGACAAGUGUGUAAAUUGCAAAUCACUGAUUCGAGGCGGGUCGGGCUUGCGAUGUGAGGGCGUUUGUGGAAAAUUAUUUCACUCAGCAACAAAAUGCUCGGGCUUGGAUAACUACAAGGCGACAAUUAUUGGAAUGCAUCCUAUGGUUAAAUUUAUUUGCCCGGAGUGCAUCAUCUACAUACAAAAUGUCGAUCUUGUGUUUCGAGACAUCACGAAGAAUGUCAAGAAAAAAAAUGUACCUGAAAGAGUAUUAAGACGAAUUUGAGGAAGCAUUGAAAGUGAAUAGGAAGGAGGUGAAGCAAUUAAUCUGUUUGAUGGAUGAGAAAUUCAGCGAGAAACUAGCGAACAUAAAAAUGCACCAGGAGUUAUUCGUUAAAAAGACAGAAAUACUAACAACAACAAUAGCGAAAGUGAGAGUGCUGGCUGAAGAACUGACAAAACAAACUGAAAAUUUUCGGAGUGUAAAUGAAAAGCUCUGCAGUGAAAUUAAAUCGCUAGCAGAGGAUAAGAACAAGAAUGCCGCUAUUUUCUCAUAACAGAAUACUGCUGUUAACCAGUUACCAAAUGCUGGAAAAUGCUAAAACACAACUAAUAGUUGUUUUCUUUUGUACCCGAGCUGCAAAAGAACGCUCAACUGGCUUAUAUUUAACUGUCUUAUAAUUUGCAUUCACUUCACAACACUGGUGUCAGCUGUCAAAAAAUGUGGACUGUUUGUGAAAUUUUUGAGCGAAACAUUUAACAAAUGAUUGUGUCGAUGUGUAUGGGCGAGCAGCGUGAAUUAUGCCAGGCUAGAGCAUGGGAAACCGUAAUCGAAAUACUGGAAACCAUAUUUGAAAGUUCCAGUUCAUCCUCUGAAGACUCGGAAAGCGAAAGUGAACAUCAUGAGAGGUGUUCCAACUUUGAAGGUACUCUCGAUGCAAUGAGUGAGAUGGACUUCAAAAUUAACAUGAGACUGAUACGUGAAACAGUGGAGUAUCUAACAACGAAAUAUUCAAUAUCUGCGUUUCUUCCUGACCAGUCUGGUGGUGGUAGGUCACGCAUUUCCCCCAAAAAGGCAGUUUAUAUGUAUAUUUGGUACAUAAGCAACACCGUGACAUUUAGGCAGCUAGGUAAUUUGUUUGGGAUAGCCACUACGGCCGCGUGGACAACAGUUCAUGGUAUCUAUUAGCCAUGAAUACAUCAAGUGGCCAGAAGGUGCUUAUUUGCAAAAUACAACGGAAAAAUUUCACCAAAAAAAAGUAUUCCUGGCGUGAUUGGAGCUAUAGAUUGCACACGUAUUGUUAUUAAGGGGCCGAAAGAUCAAAAACAGAUGAACUUUAAUCGAAAAAAAUCGUACAGCUUGGUGGUUCAAGCCGUAGUAGAUGCCGAUAAAAAGUUCACGGACAUAACUUGUGGUGAACCUGGCUCGCUUCAUGAUUUCAUAGUUUUGAGAAGAUCAAAACUAUUCCACGAUGCCGAAAGAUAUUAUGAAGAAAUGUCCUCAGAUUCCUAUUUUAUUAUCGGAGAUUCGGCAUAUCCGUUGACGAAAUGGCUGGUGUCACCAUUUAAAUUUAAAUCGAAAUUUAACCCAACGAAAAUUCAACGAAAUACAUUCUUCAACGCGAAUGGUAGUUGAAAAUGCGUUUGGGCUGUUAAAAGGACGUUUCCGAAGGCUGCUGAAAUUUACAGAGCAAACAGAUUUGAAGAUGAUUACGAACAUCGUGGUCAGUACGUGUGUUGUACAUAACAUUUGCAUAACUUUUGACGAUUUGUGCGACGCUAAUGAAGAAAAUUACACAGACGAAGCGAACCCCUUUGUUAUUGAAGAUGAAAUUGAGGAGUCAAAUUUGGAUGCAAACCUUGAUAGGAGACAAAACCUUUUUAAUUAUUUAAGACAACAAAAUAUUAUUUAAAUAUAUAUUACAUUCAUAUAUUUGUAAACCAUUAACUAGUUUGAAUUAACAAGUAUGAAAACCAUAAUUAAACAAAAAUUCAGUCAACUUAUUUCAACACUUUGGUAAUUCAAAUCAAAAAAUCUCUAAAUAUAUCACGAGUACUUUUCUUAAAGCUAAUAAAAAAUUCAAGGCUAUCAAAUUCACAUCGAAUAUCCAUUCAUAUUUCAUAUUAAAUUAAAACAA
rnacentral:lncRNA from 1 species